rnacentral:lncRNA from 1 species
UAAAUGUGUUGCCAGGAUUUAUCAAGUGGUGCAAUUUGUGCACAUAUAUCUAUCACGACAUCACAUGGUACUCAAAUUUAGUCUUUAUAAAAAGUACUUUCUCCAUAUGAACUCCUAAUAGCAGCCAAUCCUUGUCAUGAACAAUUGUUUUUUAUGAUAUUUUUAUAAGGUGAUUUUAAUUAUAAGAUUUUUCUUAUUCUUAUAAAGAUAGGAAAAGAAAAAGAAAAGAAAAAAGUUGUUGGAAAUUUGGAAUUCAUAGACUGAGAAAGUCACUUGCCUCGUGCUAGAAUCUUGUACAUUUUUCUAUUUCUCACGCUACAGUAAAGUAAUCAUCUGAAAAAGUUGUUGGAAUACAAUAUAGAUUCAGAAAGUCAUUUGUAAAUUUUAAUACUGAAAAGAAAAGGGGAAUUAUUAAGCAAAGUAUGAUUGGUGGUCUUUUGCUUGUUGCAUCUAGAUAUUUUUAUGAUGUGGUUCAUUUAUGUGUUUAAAUUCUCUAUUGAACACCAGUGUUAGAAAGCUACAAGCACAAAAUUAGGCCACAAAAGCGGAUGUGGCCACUGGCCAAACACGUCCUCAACUUGGCUCACUCAAGUUACUAAAUAUCGGUCGAUAUGUAUCUGGAUUUUGACAUUCUAAUAUGAAUAUUUUAGUAAAUGUCAACUCAUACUGUCUAAUAUAGGCCGAUACAUAAUCAUAUCACCGAUACAGUUAUUGAUAUCAGCCGAUAUGUAUCUGGAUUUUGGUAUUACGGUACGGAUAUUUUAGUAAAUGUCAACCGAGACGGUCUGAUAUAGGCCAAUACAGGACUAUAUCACCGAUAUAGUUACUGAUACUGCGAUUUAGGUUUCCCACUUAACCAAUGCUAUAAUUGAAAAAAAGAAGAAAAAAAAGAAACGUAAAAGAAUACUGGCAAUGUUAUUAUGUCUAGAAGUUCACUCAAAGAGAGAGAACACAAGAAAUUCCCAUCUCCAUAGCAGAACCUAUUUCUACGGUGGCAUAUAUACACUACGUUUUAUAGCAAUGUUUUUUGAGUUGACAACUCUCUAGAGAUUCUAAAAAAUAAAAAUGCCAUUGGACUUUGUUUUUAGACCUCUCCUCGAUCUCAUAAGAAAGAAAUGCUAAAUAACGAACUAAAAAUAAAACAACUACGUGUUCCAAAUCAGUCAAAUCACUACGCAUCUGAAUUACCCAUAGUCAAUUUCUAGGUUUUUCAUUUCAGCUGCAUAACCAAUGGAUGAAUGGGUGAUCUAAGAGAUGUCAGUGGCUAUGGUUUUCAUUUCUAGGGUUUAUUGGCUUGAAUUUGCUUUUUAUUAACAAGUUUGUUAGAUUUAUUUUGAUUAUCAUGGUUCUUAUUUUAUUUUUUUCAGGUGUGUUUUAUAACUGAGUUAUGUAUAUUUUGCUCAAUGGGUAAUGCAGGUAAAAUGAGGUUAGCCCAUCUGAAAUGAAGAAAUGAACAACAUUAAGAGCAUACGGAACAUGUUGAAUUUGUAGGGUCCAUGGGUCCGUUAGCCUGGGGCUAUAUAUCCAUUUUCUCUGUUACUCAUUUUGCAGGUGGAGUUCAACAUUUUCAUAAAUAAUUAAGGCCCCGUUUGACCCAAUUUUUUUCUUGAAUUCUUUAGUUAAUUUGAUUUUUGAGGUUUGGUUAUCUCUAGUAAUUUUUUUUAAUCGUUUGAUCGAAUUUUUAUAUUUUUUUGAUUCUUUUUAAUGAGAAGAGUCUGAAAAUAUAAAAAUAUUCAUCUAAUUUGGAAAGAUGUUCACUAAAGAAAAAAAAAUAACACUUUUUACUCAACAAAUUAGUUAAAUUUUUAUUUCUUAAUGCAUUUUCAGUUCCAAAUUUGAACAAUCUUUUUUCAUUUUGAGAUUUUCUCAUCAACAAGAAAAGAAAAAGCAUAAUUUUUUUAUUAAACAGAGAAAAAAGUCACGAAAAGAUGAAAAAACUUCAAAAUCAAAGCACCUAAAAAAUCUAAAUUUUUUUUUAUGCCAAACUGGGCCUAACUAUUGGUAUUUAUCCUGUUGUACAUAUCACUUUAAAUGUGCAUUUUUACUCUAUGGAUAUAUUUGUUUAGAAAAUAUCAACCACAUCCGGAUGAACAACGGUUAAAAUAUAAAAUAUAUAUUAAAAUGUGAAAAUGAAUUAAAAUAUAUGAAAUGUAUAUAAAGUUGUAACUUUCUUAACAUUAUUUAUACUUUAAGCAAUGCUCAUUGAGUUGUUAGCGAGACCUAUUUAUUUUAAAUUGUAGCAUACAUUAUUAAGGGUUCAAAUUUGAGGACUUUUAUUUGCAAUGUCUUAUACUGCCCCCGAGUUGGUAUGAAUCUAUAGGAAAAACUGUUAAAAUAUUUUUUAAUUAAAAGUAAUAUUUUUUUCCUUUAAAAUGGAGAAAUGGGUUGGAGAUUCUUAUGAGUGGCUUGGAACUUGUUUCAUCUAAUGCAAUGACACACACAAAAUUACGUGUAUGUUUGGCAAAACUUUUAAGCAUCAACUUCUACUUUUGUUUUGAAA